ACUGAACGCUGGCGGCAUGCUUUACACAUGCAAGUCGAACGGCAGCGCGGGCUUCGGCCUGGUGGCGAGUGGCGAACGGGUGAGUAAUGCAUCGGAACGUACCGUGUAGUGGGGGAUAACGUAGCGAAAGUUACGCUAAUACCGCAUACGCCCUGAGGGGGAAAGUGGGGGACCGCAAGGCCUCACGCUAUAUGAGCGGCCGAUGUCGGAUUAGCUAGUUGGUAGGGUAAAGGCCUACCAAGGCGACGAUCCGUAGCGGGUCUGAGAGGAUGAUCCGCCACACUGGGACUGAGACACGGCCCAGACUCCUACGGGAGGCAGCAGUGGGGAAUUUUGGACAAUGGGCGCAAGCCUGAUCCAGCCAUGCCGCGUGAGUGAAGAAGGCCUUCGGGUUGUAAAGCUCUUUCAGACGGAAAGAAAUCUCUCAGGAUAAUACCUUGGGAGGAUGACGGUACCGUAAGAAGAAGCACCGGCUAACUACGUGCCAGCAGCCGCGGUAAUAC
rnacentral:rRNA from 1 species